rnacentral:rRNA from 1 species
AUUGAACGCUGGCGGCAGGCUUAACACAUGCAAGUCGAACGAGUGGCGGACGGGUGAGUAAUGCUUGGGAAUCUAGCUCAUGGAGGGGGAUAACUACGGGAAACUGUAGCCAAUACCGCGCACCAUAGGAUGAGCCCAAGUGGGAUUAGGUGGUUUGAGAGGUAAAGGCUAACAAAGCCGACGAUCUCUAGCUGGUCUGAGAGGAGGAACGACCACACGGGGACUGGUACCCGGCCCGGACUCCUACGGGAGGAAGCAGUGGGGAAUAUUGCGCAAUGUGGGCAACCUUACGCGGCAAGGCCGCGUGAAUGAAGAAGGCCUUCGGGUUGUAAGGUUCUUUCGGUAGCGAGGCGUUAACUACAGAAGAAGCACCGGCUAACUCCGUGCCAGCAGCCGCGGUAAUAC